rnacentral:rRNA from 1 species
GACGAACGCUGGCGGCGUGCUUAACACAUGCAAGUCGAGCGGAAAGGCCCUGCGUUUGUGUGGUGCUUGAGUGGCGAACGGGUGAGUAACACGUGAGUAACCUGCCCUUGUCUUUGGGAUAACUUCAGGAAACUGGGGCUCAUAUCGGAUAGGAGCUUCUGAUGCGUGGUGGUGGUUGGAAAGUUUCGGUGGUUGGGGUUGGACUGGCGGCUUAUGGGCUUGUUGGUGGGGUUGGGGAUUACCAAGGCUUUGACGGGUAGGCGACCUGGGCGGUUGGCCGGGCACCAGAGGACUAAGGGACGGACCAGACUCGAACGGGAGGCAGUGGGCGGGAGUAUGACACAGUAAGCGGGCGUGUGAUACGACGGCGUCGCGUGCGGGAAGCCGGCCUUCGGGGUGAGAACCGCUUUCGCCUGUGACGAGGCGUGAGUGACGGUAAUGGGUAAAGAAGCACCGGCUAACUACGUG